rnacentral:rRNA from 1 species
UUAAGCGACUAAGCGUACACGGUGGAUGCCCUGGCAGUCAGAGGCGAUGAAGGGCGUGCUAAUCUGCGAUAAGCGCCGGUAAGGUGAUAUGAACCGUUAUAACCGGCGAUACCCGAAUGGGGAAACCCAGUGUGAUUCGUCACACUAUCAUUAACUGAAUCCAUAGGUUAAUGAGGCGAACCGGGGGAACUGAAACAUCUAAGUACCCCGAGGAAAAGAAAUCAACCGAGAUUCCCCCAGUAGCGGCGAGCGAACGGGGAGGAGCCCAGAGCCUGAAUCAGCAUGUGUGUUAGUGGAAGCGUCUGGAAAGGCGCGCGAUACAGGGUGACAGCCCCGUACACAAAAGCGCAUGUGCUGUGAGCUCGAUGAGUAGGGCGGGACACGUGGUAUCCUGUCUGAAUAUGGGGGGACCAUCCUCCAAGGCUAAAUACUCCUGACUGACCGAUAGUGAACCAGUACCGUGAGGGAAAGGCGAAAAGAACCCCGGCGAGGGGAGUGAAAAAGAACCUGAAACCGUGUACGUACAAGCAGUGGGAGCCCCACCACCAAAGCGUUUCGCUUUGUGUGGUGCACAAAGAAGCGUAACGACAGCACUGAAUGACGGUUAACGGAGCGCAAGCGACGUUCAACAUACAAAGUCAAGCAGUGGAGCGCUUUGGGGUGGGGUGACUGCGUACCUUUUGUAUAAUGGGUCAGCGACUUAUAUUCUGUAGCAAGGUUAACCGAAUAGGGGAGCCGGAGGGAAACCGAGUCUUAAUUGGGCGUUAAGUUGCAGGGUAUAGACCCGAAACCCGGUGAUCUAGCCAUGGGCAGGUUGAAGGUUGGGUAACACUAACUGGAGGACCGAACCGACUAAUGUUGAAAAAUUAGCGGAUGACCUGUGGCUGGGGGUGAAAGGCCAAUCAAACCGGGAGAUAGCUGGUUCUCCCCGAAAGCUAUUUAGGUAGCGCCUCGUGAAUUCAUCUCCGGGGGUAGAGCACUGUUUCGGCUAGGGGGCCAUCCCGGCUUACCAACCCGAUGCAAACUGCGAAUACCGGAGAAUGUUAUCACGGGAGACACACGGCGGGUGCUAACGUCCGUCGUGAAGAGGGAAACAACCCAGACCGCCAGCUAAGGUCCCAAAGUCAUGGUUAAGUGGGAAACGAUGUGGGAAGGCCCAGACAGCCAGGAUGUUGGCUUAGAAGCAGCCAUCAUUUAAAGAAAGCGUAAUAGCUCACUGGUCGAGUCGGCCUGCGCGGAAGAUGUAACGGGGCUAAACCAUGCACCGAAGCUGCGGCAGCGACGCUUAUGCGUUGUUGGGUAGGGGAGCGUUCUGUAAGCCUGUGAAGGUGGCCUGUGAGGGUUGCUGGAGGUAUCAGAAGUGCGAAUGCUGACAUAAGUAACGAUAAAGCGGGUGAAAAGCCCGCUCGCCGGAAGACCAAGGGUUCCUGUCCAACGUUAAUCGGGGCAGGGUGAGUCGACCCCUAAGGCGAGGCCGAAAGGCGUAGUCGAUGGGAAACGGGUUAAUAUUCCCGUACUUGGUGUUACUGCGAAGGGGGGACGGAGAAGGCUAUGUUGGCCGGGCGACGGUUGUCCCGGUUUAAGCGUGUAGGUGUGUGUUCCAGGUAAAUCCGGUUCACUUUAACACUGAGGCGUGAUGACGAGGCACUACGGUGCUGAAGCAACAAAUGCCCUGCUUCCAGGAAAAGCCUCUAAGCAUCAGGUAACAUCAAAUCGUACCCCAAACCGACACAGGUGGUCAGGUAGAGAAUACCAAGGCGCUUGAGAGAACUCGGGUGAAGGAACUAGGCAAAAUGGUGCCGUAACUUCGGGAGAAGGCACGCUGACACGUAGGUGAAGUGAUUUACUCAUGGAGCUGAAGUCAGUCGAAGAUACCAGCUGGCUGCAACUGUUUAUUAAAAACACAGCACUGUGCAAACACGAAAGUGGACGUAUACGGUGUGACGCCUGCCCGGUGCCGGAAGGUUAAUUGAUGGGGUCAGCGCAAGCGAAGCUCCUGAUCGAAGCCCCGGUAAACGGCGGCCGUAACUAUAACGGUCCUAAGGUAGCGAAAUUCCUUGUCGGGUAAGUUCCGACCUGCACGAAUGGCGUAAUGAUGGCCAGGCUGUCUCCACCCGAGACUCAGUGAAAUUGAACUCGCUGUGAAGAUGCAGUGUACCCGCGGCAAGACGGAAAGACCCCGUGAACCUUUACUAUAGCUUGACACUGAACAUUGAGCCUUGAUGUGUAGGAUAGGUGGGAGGCUUUGAAGCGUGGACGCCAGUCUGCGUGGAGCCGACCUUGAAAUACCACCCUUUAAUGUUUGAUGUUCUAACGUGGACCCGUAAUCCGGGUUGCGGACAGUGUCUGGUGGGUAGUUUGACUGGGGCGGUCUCCUCCUAAAGAGUAACGGAGGAGCACGAAGGUUGGCUAAUCCUGGUCGGACAUCAGGAGGUUAGUGCAAUGGCAUAAGCCAGCUUGACUGCGAGCGUGACGGCGCGAGCAGGUGCGAAAGCAGGUCAUAGUGAUCCGGUGGUUCUGAAUGGAAGGGCCAUCGCUCAACGGAUAAAAGGUACUCCGGGGAUAACAGGCUGAUACCGCCCAAGAGUUCAUAUCGACGGCGGUGUUUGGCACCUCGAUGUCGGCUCAUCACAUCCUGGGGCUGAAGUAGGUCCCAAGGGUAUGGCUGUUCGCCAUUUAAAGUGGUACGCGAGCUGGGUUUAGAACGUCGUGAGACAGUUCGGUCCCUAUCUGCCGUGGGCGCUGGAGAACUGAGGGGGGCUGCUCCUAGUACGAGAGGACCGGAGUGGACGCAUCACUGGUGUUCGGGUUGUCAUGCCAAUGGCACUGCCCGGUAGCUAAAUGCGGAAGAGAUAAGUGCUGAAAGCAUCUAAGCACGAAACUUGCCCCGAGAUGAGUUCUCCCUGAGACUUAGAGUCUCCUGAAGGAACGUUGAAGACGACGACGUUGAUAGGCCGGGUGUGUAAGCGCAGCGAUGCGUUGAGCUAACCGGUACUAAUGAACCGUGAGGCUUAACCUU